rnacentral:lncRNA from 1 species
GUAUUCGUCGAUGAGCUGGGAGCCGAAGAAGUCAGUAUUGCCAGUGCUUGGAGUAGCUUCAUCCAUUAAUAUUGAAAAAGGGCCUUGUGAGUGCCUCCUGUCGCCCUCCACCCCCCGCCCGGAGGCCUUGUCCAGCGCUUGGCCCCAGGUCUAGCCCUUCCGCGUGAUGGACAUUGCACCUGAGGAGUCUCGUCGCAAAUAAGCCCUCUUACAUGAUCUUAUUUCAAAUGUGUCAUCUGCUUGCUGUCAAGACCUUGACGGGAACACACGCACAAGCGGGCUCAGCUGAACACAGAGAUAAGCCUCGAGUGUUGUUUGGAGAAAUAUGCUCUGCGGCUUCGAGAAGAUUGAGGACACGCUGCAGAGUCUCGUGGUGCCUCCGCUGGUGCAACCUGCGUCUACCCAUUUACUAGAUCACAGGCAUGGACGGUCAUCCACUGUGGCCCAGGCUGUCUCAGGCUCUCGGGACAGGGCGAGCAAGACGCCACACUCCACUGGAGCAGACAGACACCAACCAGGACAUAUCACUGGCGCCUUGCCGAUACAUGUCUGUAUUUGGAGAGCACGACUGGAAUGACAGACAGCUGCAGUAUCACCGAGCACUUACGUCAGCAGUGACACACAGACCCCGACGUGUGUCCCUCAGACGUGGCGAUCCGAGCAGGUGGGGACUGCUGUCCGUCUCGUUUGUGGAGGAACACUCAACGCGCCGGCUUGCCCCAGUGUGCUCACUUCCCUUGUGGGGAUCAGACACCAUUAAAAGCCCUUGGCAGUCGAGAUCUGCAGCGUCCGUGCCGUGUCUCUGGGUAGGUGCGCUCCGUGGGUCAGCAGGCUGUCUCUGUGCGGGCUCAGACACUGAGUGUUUCAGACUUGCGGUCCAGUUGUCUCUCAGCACCCACAGGGGCUUGGUUCCAGGACCACCCCCUGGGACCCCCAAAUCCAGGGACGCGGAGCUCUUCUGCUGUUGCGUUGGGAGCACCGCUAGGAUGGACGGGAAUGGGCGUGGCUGCGUGCCAGUGAGAACUUAUCAGCAAGAGCACGUCUCCAGGUCACAGGCUUGUCAACCCUUGCGCUAUACUUUAGUUGAUUGCUGCUGUUGGACACUCAGUCAUCUCCUAAUUUUUCACACGAAAAUGUGAAUUUUAAUCAAGUUCAAUCCAGUCAUCACUUCUCCUGGCUUCGCUUUAAGACUUGGAAAACUUUCUCCGUUUCGCAGUUGGCUGCGGCAUCUCUGUUUGUGCCUUUGAAGAGCCAAUUCACUUUUUUGGCCAUUGUGGAUUUCCCCUGCUGCUCUCUCCCUC